UAGAAAGGAAGAAAAGUCACUUUGGGGAAAGGAACUCAUCUUAGAGGAGGCAGGGGGUUGAGUAAGGACAUGCUUUCCCAGUGAGAUAAACGUGAGUUUUUCAGCUUGGCUGUCAAGUCAUGGCCUUAAAAAAAGGAGCGCAAGUGAAAGGGCUCCCUCCCAUCGUCCCCUGAGCAGCUGGCCGGAGUGGGGCACGAGACAGUGGGUGGAAAUUCCAGGUGUACCCGUCAUGUGGAUGGCGACCUUGCUGGCAGCACCGCGCCUGAACAGUCCUCCCUGAUGGAAAAGGAGCUGGGAACUACAGACCAUACGGGUUUAGGAAUAGAAAUGAACUUCAAUGCCUACAACAGUAAAAGUCUUGAUGUCCAGUCAUAAUAUCCAGUGAGCAUCGGACAAAGCGCCUUCACCAGCAUCCUGAGUUUAUUCCCACAGCAUUCAUGAAAGGCAGGUCAAGCUCCAUGCUCAGAAGCCAAAGAAAACAAGUACAGAGAGA